rnacentral:rRNA from 1 species
AUUGAACGCUGGCGGAAUGCUUUACACAUGCAAGUCGAACGGUAGAGGGGGCAACCCCUCGAGAGUGGCGAACGGGUGAGUAAUAUAUCGGAACGUGCCCAGUCGUGGGGGAUAACGUAGCGAAAGUUACGCUAAUACCGCAUACGAUCUAUGGAUGAAAGCGGGGGAUCGCAAGACCUCGCGCGAUUGGAGCGGCCGAUAUCAGAUUAGGUAGUUGGUGGGGUAAAGGCUCACCAAGCCGACGAUCUGUAGCUGGUCUGAGAGGACGACCAGCCACACUGGGACUGAGACACGGCCCAGACUCCUACGGGAGGCAGCAGUGGGGAAUUUUGGACAAUGGGCGCAAGCCUGAUCCAGCCAUGCCGCGUGCAGGAUGAAGGCCUUCGGGUUGUAAACUGCUUUUGUACGGAACGAAAAGGUUUGACUUAAUACGUUGGACUCAUGACGGUACCGUAAGAAUAAGCACCGGCUAACUACGUGCCAGCAGCCGCAGUAA